UACAGAGGGGGCAAGCGUUGUUCGGAAUUACUGGGCGUAAAGGGCGCGUAGGUGGCCUUCUAAGUUGAACGUGAAAUCCCUGGGCUCAACCCAGGAACUGCGUCCAAGACUGGGAGGCUUGAAUCCGGGGAGAGGGAUGCGGAAUUCCAGGUGUAGCGGUGAAAUGCGUAGAUAUCUGGAGGAACACCGGUGGCGAAGGCGGCAUCCUGGACCGAUAUUGACGCUGAUGCGCGAAAGCCAGGGGAGCAAACGGG
rnacentral:rRNA from 1 species